GCCCUAUCAACUUUCGAUGGU
rnacentral:ncRNA from 2 species